rnacentral:rRNA from 1 species
GAUGAACGCUGGCGGCGUGCUUAACACAUGCAAGUCGAACGGUGAAGCUCAGCUUGCUGGGUGGAUCAGUGGCGAACGGGUGAGUAACACGUGAGCAACCUGCCCCUGACUCUGGGAUAAGCGCUGGAAACGGUGUCUAAUACUGGAUAUGUACCACGGUCGCAUGGUCUGUGGUUGGAAAGAUUUUUCGGUUGGGGAUGGGCUCGCGGCCUAUCAGCUUGUUGGUGAGGUAAUGGCUCACCAAGGCGUCGACGGGUAGCCGGCCUGAGAGGGUGACCGGCCACACUGGGACUGAGACACGGCCCAGACUCCUACGGGAGGCAGCAGUGGGGAAUAUUGGACAAUGGGCGGAAGCCUGAUCCAGCAACGCCGCGUGAGGGAUGACGGCCUUCGGGUUGUAAACCUCUUUCAGCACAGACGAAGCUGACUCCACGUGUGGGGUGGGUGACGGUAUGUGCAGAAGAAGCACCGGCCAACUACGUGCCAGCAGCCGCGGUAAUAC